ensembl:lncRNA
AAAAGACAAAAAAAAAAUUUUAUUUAUUUAUUUUUUUAUGGCCAUACACGUGGCAUAGGGAGGUUCUUGGUCAAGGUCACACAAGAGCAGGUGCAGGGACACUGCCUCCCUGAGGGAGAGGCCUGCUGGAACACCAGCAAAGAAUGGGGAGAGAAAUCCCUGUUGCUAGGAGGCAAAGCUUUUGGGUAGAGAAACACGGGGCCAGGUUGUGUGUGGGGGACUGUGUAGCACUAGGACCUGUUGCCAUGGGGAAGAGAAAGCGCCACAGGUUAAGUACAGAAAAGAGGGCUGGGAGCAAAGCUGGAGGGGGCUGAGCCCCUGCCCUCAACAGCUACCUAUAGUCUGAAUAUUCCCCAGUAGAAGCCAAUGAAACACACAGGCGGUUUCCCCCUGCAGUGAAACACUAGGCGCAGGAAGGGUAUGGCACCUUACGCUAAUCCAGGGCUCAGCUAGCCAUUUUGCUCUAAGCCUAAUGUUUCCAUUUUGAAGGCGAUCCUGUUUACCUGUGGUGUGAGGGAAAUCCUCAGUAUUUAACAUCGUAUCCUGGGUUAGGCCCCUCCCAGCAGGUGGGGGAGAAACUCCAGGCUUGAGUCACUCUUGUUUUCAAUCCUUCUUGGGAAAUGUGCAGAAAAAAAGCGCCGCCCNNNNNNNNNNNNNNNNNNNNNNNNNNNNNNNNNNNNNNNNGUGGGGAGUGGCCCCUGAUUCCUCGAGGGAGGGAGACACAGACAGGCCUUGAUUUCUGUGUCUGGAGCAGGGAUGGCAGGAAAAACCCCGAUAAAAUACUCUAAGCUCAGCUGGUGAAGACUUUUGUUUUUCAAGUUCUAGGAUUGGUGGCAGAAAUGAAAAAUCUGAAGUCCUGAGGAAAAAACCAAAGGAGUCACAUCCCUGGGGAUCCCGUGAGGCCCUCCCUUCGAGUUAAAUCUGGUGCCAUCUUGGAAGCAGCACUUUAGCACAAAGGCAGCCGUUUCCAGGUAUUAGUGGGGCAAGUUGAGAUCUUUUGGUUAAUUUACCAAGAACCAAACCUCGAUCACUCCGUAUCCAGGAAUAGCCACUCUUUUCCAAGAGCAAACUUGGCUGUAUUCAGCCUCUGCUGGAGAGGCUUGUCUUAGCUCGUCAGAGGUCUUUACAGACACCCAAGUGUGUCAACAGAGAACCACCAGAGUGCCCAUACCAGCAGUUAAAAAGCAGACAGUCUAUUUAAAGAAAUGUCUAUUAGAGAUGCUGAUUUUCUUAAGUGGGAAGCCAGAGUGCCAGGUAUGGGGAGACACGCUGGGGUUAUCUAGAAGUGCUGAUAGGACACCUCAUCCCUAAAUGUUUGCCUCCAAAAAUGAAGUAUACAUAAACUAAUGUGGUAAGAUGUUACUUUUUAGAUUAUUUUCAUAAUUCACCCUUUAUUUGCUUUUUAGGGCUGUACCCGAGGCACAUGGAGGUUCCCAGGCUAGGGGUCGAAUCAGAGCUACAGCUGCCAGCUUACACCAGACACAGCAACACACGCUCCAAGCCACAUCUGUGACCUACACCACAGCUCACGGCAAUGCUGGAUCCUUAACCCACUGAGCAAGGUCAGGGAUCGAACCUGAAUCCUCAUGGAUCCGAGCCACAACGGGAAGACCCAAGAUGUUAAUAUUAACAUCAGUGAAUCCAGAGGAGGAAUAUACUGUUCAAAAUAUGUACUAUUUCAGCUUUUUCACAGAAUUGAGAAGUUUGAACUAAACAGUGUGUAAUUAACUUUUUCCAGAACGUGGAAUUUACCAUCUGGUUGAAGCAGUAAAAUACCUGGCCACUGACAGGUUAAGCGCUCUCCCUGGGUUCAAACCCCUCCCAAAUCAAGAUUCUGCCACUUACCAACUCAUCUCUCAAAGCUAUUAUUUAUUCUGUACAAGGUUCCACUGUACAUCACACAUUCUACUCUUGCUUACACAGUAAACAAGUGUACCCCAGCCCUUUGGCUCAGGUUCACAGGUCUUCCCUGGAGAAGCGUGUCAGGCCAGUUAAACUCAGGGUGUGUUUUUUUCCGGAUGCCUCCUGGGGGCUCAGGAAAGUCCUGGGUUCCAAGGGACACAGGCAGGGCCCAGCUGUGUGGGUGUGCAGAGAGGUCCAGGCCCAGAGCCCGGUUCCUGGGUGCUGAAGGGCUUCUCUCCUGGGACAGCAUAGAGUUUUGCCCAGCUGUGUAGGGCACAAUCACGCCCAUGGCAGAGAAUCAUACAAUUGAGGCAAGAUGUCCCCAAACACCCAGGCUCCAGCUCCCAGGCCGGACUGCAGACUGAUGCCAAGAGGAGCCGGGGGGUGGCACGGGCAUCCCUGAGAAACUCGGUCCAAAGGGCCUAUGCCAGGAGGUUCUGAGAAGGGGGCUGGGGCAGGAAGGCGGAGGAGAGCUUGUUAAGGGGGAAUAAAUUAAAGGGGGGAGAAGCUUGAGGGUAGGGGGCUCGUGCUAUCCUUCCAACAGCUGGGGAGCAGACCAGGGGCAGGUUAGAGGAAGCAGGCGGGCAGAACUUGAAACACUAUCAGAAAUCUUUGACCUACUCUCCUCUUCACCUCACUGCGAUGCGAAACGAGCCAGGGGCUGAGGGCAAGACCCCAAGCUUUCCAAUGGCUCUGAACAUGGCACCGGGGAAAAGGGAAGAGGCUGUGGGAUAUUUCAGGGAGGGGCAGUCACCCCCUGGUCCCCAAAUGCUAUAAGGCACAGUUCUUGGAGGCAACUAGAUUCCAUCCAAAACAUUAAAAAAACAAACAAAAAACUUGUCAGAUCCCAGAUCUACUGUGGCUGUGUUUGGGGCCUGGCCAACUCCCACCUAGCACCACUGGGGGCUAGCACUAGAAAAUCUGUAUUUGAAGAAUUAAAAAAAAAAAAAAAAAAAA